GACGAACGCUGGUGGCGUGCCUAAUACAUGCAAGUCGAGCGAGACUCUUCGGAGUCUAGCGGCGGACGGGUGAGUAACACGUGGGCAACCUGCCUGUAAGACUGGGAUAACACCGGGAAACCGGUGCUAAUACCGGAUAAUCCUUUUCCUCUCAUGAGGAAAAGCUGAAAGUCGGUUUCGGCUGACACUUACAGAUGGGCCCGCGGCGCAUUAGCUAGUUGGUGAGGUAACGGCUCACCAAGGCGACGAUGCGUAGCCGACCUGAGAGGGUGAUCGGCCACACUGGGACUGAGACACGGCCCAGACUCCUACGGGAGGCAGCAGUAGGGAAUCUUCCACAAUGGACGAAAGUCUGAUGGAGCAACGCCGCGUGAGCGAUGAAGGCCUUCGGGUCGUAGAGCUCUGUUGUUAGGGAAGAACAAGUACCGGAGUAACUGCCGGUACCUUGACGGUACCUAACCAGAAAGCCACGGCUAACUACGUGCCAGCAGCCGCAGUAACAC
rnacentral:rRNA from 1 species